GGCGAGGCUAGAGUCUCACCCAGGCAUGGCGUUGCCCGGGCGUGCUAGAGUCCUUGGAGAGCAGCCACUGCCCUCAUUUGCUGGCUCUGGCCCUGUGGCUGAGCCAGUCAACUUA
rnacentral:snoRNA from 1 species